AGCGAACGCUGGCGGCAUGCUUAACACAUGCAAGUCGCACGGGCAGGGCAACCUGUCAGUGGCGGACGGGUGAGUAACGCGUAGGUAUCUAUCCUUGGGGUGGGGGACAACGGUUGGAACGACUGCUAAUACCGCAUGAUAACUGAGGUUUAAAGGCGCAAGUCGCCUGAGGAGGAGCCUGCGUACGAUUAGCUAGUUGGUGGGGUAAAGGCCUACCAAGGCUGUGAUCGAGCUGGUCUGAGAGGAUGAUCAGCCACAUUGGGACUGAGACACGGCCCAAACUCCUACGGGAGGCAGCAGUGGGGAAUAUUGGACAAUGGGCGCAAGCCUGAUCCAGCAAUGCCGCGUGUGUGAAGAAGGUCUUCGGAUUGUAAAGCACUUUCGUACGGGGACGA
rnacentral:rRNA from 1 species